UCCUUAUCUCUUCCCUUCAUUGCAGUAGAUCGAUUCUCCUGCUCCUUUCUUUAUCCUCAUUGGCACAAAUUGGGAGAGAGAGACGCUCUACUUCUCCUCCCUCUGUCUCUGAGAAGCAUCAAGCUUUGGUAAAUGGUAAAACCUCAUACCAACUCUUUUACAGAACCAUGUUUGUAUGUCCAUGCAUGUGUUUUGUUUAAUGGAGUUGGGUGUCGUAAUUGAGUGAAGAGCUUAGGGGAAUUUUGGGGGAGGUUGAUGGUUAAUUGGCGGCUUGGAUUUUGGGCUUUUUGACUGAGUGGUUGUUGGUGAAUCGGGGUUUCUCUGAGAUGGGGAUAAAUUCCUAAUUAGUUGAUAGGUGUUGUUUCUCAUUAUAUGCAAUGCUAAUUCUAUGAGGAAUUUUUUCUCAAAAAAAAAAAAAAAUUCUAUGAGGAAUUUGGUCAUAAGUUGACUUUUUGCUAAGCCACUGCUUGUUCAGGUUUUAUAUAGAUUUUGAUGUAAAUUUUUUGUAAGUUCAGUUUGUAUCUCAAAUUGUAAAGUUGAAGAAUCCGGAUUGAAAUUUGUGUGAGGGGAGGACUAAGCAUUUAGAUUUGCGUGAGGGGAGGACUAAGCAUUUAGAGUUACUACAAAAAUCCUAAUUUGCAGUUUGAGUCUUUGAUUUACUACCUCACAGAUCUAAGUUUGGUGGAUUACAAACUUGUGAAGUUCUUGCCUUCUAUGAUAGCUGCAUCGGCUAUAUUUCUAGCGAGAGUUAUUAUUACUAGAUCAAAAAUGAAUCCUUGGACGUGGUGGAUCUUUGGUAGCUGUACGAGAUAAAUACAAAAAGACUAAUUAAGUUAAACUGUGUGGCAAAAAUGCAUUGCCCUUCACAGUUACCACAUUCUUGGUUUGAAGCUGUGAAAGCAAGAAGAAAGAUUUUUGUGGCAAGGGCUUGUCCAAUAUUAUUGGAAGAUCUGGCUUUAUGUUAUGUAGAGAGUGCAAAAUGUCAAGCUGCCUAGUGACCAAAGCUGUUGGUGGAGAUGGGGAUAAUGAACUUCAAUCUUCCUUCAUACCAUCUUGAAGGGUUCCACAAUUCCAUGAAACUACUGCCCACUUUGCACAAGAUUUAACCUUCUGUAUUUUGGACUACUGAUUAGUUUUAAUGUGAUUUUGUAGACUGUUUCAUAGGUAUAGGUGACUGGUUGUAUUCAUGUAGUAAGCUCACAUGCAGAGAGCUGAAUGCAAAUUUGCAAGUUAUCUCUAUAUUCCUGCAUGUUUAGUUUCUCUGCAGUGUUUAAUUGAGAAUUGAAAAUCCUGUAUACUU
rnacentral:lncRNA from 1 species